rnacentral:rRNA from 1 species
GACGAACGCUGGCGGCGUGCCUAACACAUGCAAGUUGAGCGACGAACCAGGGCUUGCCCUGGGGCAAAGCAGCGAACGGGUGAGUAACACGUGGGUAACCUGCCCCGAUGACCGGGACAACCCGAGGAAACUCGGGCUAAUACCGGAUGUGCUCGCCGGACAUCAGUCCGGCGCGUAAAGGAAGCUUCGGCCUCCGCAUCGGGAGGGGCCCGUGGCCCAUUAGCUAGUUGGUGAGGUAACGGCUCACCAAGGCCGCGAUGGGUAGCUGGUCUGAGAGGACGAUCAGCCACACUGGGACUGAGACACGGCCCAGACUCCUACGGGAGGCUG